GCUUUUUAAUCAUUAUUGGUGCUUAUUUCUUAGAAUUUAAUCAGAACAGGUGAAAGUGCUUGGCAUGUAACAACUUUGUAACUCUGUGCGAGAGUAGCAGGUGCAGAAAGACAACAUAGUUUCAUAGCACCUACAAUUAAAUACACUUGGGUCCAGUAGACCCGAACACCUCAUAUGUAAUAGUUUUGUGUAGGGGGAAGAGAGUGUACUGUGUGCAGU